rnacentral:rRNA from 1 species
UUAGUGGCGGACGGGUGAGUAACGCGUGGGUAACCUGCCUUACACAGGGGGAUAACACUUAGAAAUAGGUGCUAAAACCGCAUAAGCGCACAGCUUCGCAUGAAGCGGUGUGAAAAACUCCGGUGGUGUAAGAUGGACCCGCGUCUGAUUAGCUUGUUGGCGGGGUAACGGCCCACCAAGGCGACGAUCAGUAGCCGGCCUGAGAGGGCGGACGGCCACAUUGGGACCGAGACACGGCCCAGACUCCUACGGAAGGCAGCAG